GAUGAACGCUAGCUACAGGCUUAACACAUGCAAGUCGAGGGGAAACGACAUCGAAAGCUUGCUUUUGAUGGGCGUCGACCGGCGCACGGGUGAGUAACGCGUAUCCAACCUGCCCAUCACUUGGGGAUAACCUUGCGAAAGUAAGACUAAUACCCAAUGAUAUCUCUAGAGGACAUCUGAGAGAGAUUAAAGAUUUAUCGGUGAUGGAUGGGGAUGCGUCUGAUUAGCUUGUUGGCGGGGUAACGGCCCACCAAGGCAACGAUCAGUAGGGGUUCUGAGAGGAAGGUCCCCCACAUUGGAACUGAGACACGGUCCAAACUCCUACGGGAGGCAGCAGUGAGGAAUAUUGGUCAAUGGGCGAGAGCCUGAACCAGCCAAGUAGCGUGCAGGAAGACGGCCCUAUGGGUUGUAAACUGCUUUUAUAAGGGAAUAAAGUGAGAGUCGUGACUCUUUUUGUAUGUACCUUAUGAAUAAGGACCGGCUAAUUCCGUG
rnacentral:rRNA from 1 species